UCCUGGGGGAAGGCCAGGACAGGAUGCUGUCUGACAAGCCUUUUUGCCAGGAUGCCCAGGAAUCUGUGGUUUGCGCUCUAGCAUAAAUCGAUCCUAAAUGUCGAUGAGACACUGCUGCCAUAUUGUGGAAUUUCUGCAACUAUUGAAAUGGGUGCCAUUCAGUUUGUAGUAUGGAGUGCCAAACUUCAUUGCCCUAAAGUUCAUCCAUAUGCCCUUCAUAAAAAAAAGGUUCUAAGUGUGAUGACAUUUGGCACAGAUCACAAUAAGUGGCAGUGAAAGGCAGGAAUGCAGCGUUGACUGGGGUUAUUAAAGAAGGGGUCAUGGAAGCAUGCAAAGAACUGAUUGGAUUCCAAAAGGCAGAAGAAAAUUGGAAGGCAUUUGGGGAGAAAAUGAUACAAAUAGAAGCAUAGAUAAAGGAAAUACUAUGAUAUGAGUAACUCUUGGAACAGAGAAGAUUCCAGAUCCUUUGCACUAGACUAGAAGCAGACUUAACUCCUCACGUCACUUAGGCUUUGAUCAAAUGUUUGUGAUGUAAUUUCUUUGCGAUGUAA